UUAGCUCAUAUUUGUAUGGAAUGGGAUCGUUUGCGUAAGUUUGCCGCUAGGGGCGCUGUUCCAAUUGCAUACAAAAACGAGACG
rnacentral:pre_miRNA from 1 species